rnacentral:snRNA from 1 species
GUGCUUGCUUUGGCAGCACAUAUACUAACAUUGGAAAGAUACAGAGAUUAACAUAGCCCCUGUGCAAGGAUGACACACAAAUUUGUGAAGCGUUCCAUAUUUUU